GCAUUAAUGAAAUAAACACGCACAGGGUGGACGCACAGUCAGUCGAGUGAACACUGAAGACAGAUUAAGGGGAUUUCUAUGAUAUUCCAGGAUAUUUUACAACAGAUUUGACUUUGUGAUUGUCUCGGCCAGCAGAAGAUCGAGAUCAGCUUUAACCUGAUGGAGUAAAACAGUAAUGAAGAUGUAAAGCUCUGAGUCUCUGGAUGGUUCAGGAUGGAUGAGUCUCUGGCUUCUACAGACCUGUGAUGACCAUUCAUUUCCAGCACAGGUUAAACCACAGUCAAACUUCAUGAGGACUGAUCAUUCAUCAUGCAUUUACGGAUGUGUCGGUUAAACGGUUUUGGUGUUGUCGUGGCAACAGGCGACCGUCAUGAAGCUGAGACGCAUACGCCGCCUAGUGGACCUGAUGGAGAACUGCGUUUGCUGGCAAUACUCCAUUACUUUGUGCUCUGGGCAAAAUAAUUUGACGAGACAUAAGUGUGAGAAUUGGAGAUUCAUAUUCAUAAAUUGGCAUCUAAUCAAACUAAUCUCUGAUUUAUUUAUUCAGGAGCAGAAUCAUGUUGAGUGAACGCAUCAAAACUGGACAAAAUAUCUUCUAGUACUCUUUUAAUGUGUCUUCGUGUCAAGUUUGUUUCACUUUUGUCUUUGAUGAUGUUAAUCACUUGGUUGACUAAUUUAAGUUGCUGAAUCACUGUUGGCAGAUUUAAGCAGCAUUUGUAGUAAACUUUGACUGAUUACUGAAUGCAUACGACAUGUUUCGACAAAUAAAGUCUGUGUUAUAUAAUGAAUAUUAAUCAUUUGUUUGCGUUUAUAACAUAAGCUUUAUUUAUUACAGAAAGAUGCAUUAGGGUCAGAUCAGUGUUUCAGCUCCAUCUUGUGGACAAUAAGUGGAUCUGCAUUAAUACUUGAAACUGAAUUACUAAGACAUUUUUUCCAUUAGGAGAAAUCCUGAUCCUGAAGAUCCACUUUCCAGAGUGAAGCUCCAACCUGAUGAAAACACCUGAGGCUUUUAAUUAAGGACUUUCAGCAAACGAGAAGCUUCAAGGCAAAUGUGUGACAAACUCUGUAAUUCAGAUGAUGAUAAUAAAAGAUUGAUUUGACUAAACUGAUGAUGCUUUUACAAAUCGUGUAUGUGUUUCACUGUGAGUUUGAGUUAAUAAAAAGUGAUUUAAAAGUA
ensembl:antisense